ACAGUACAAACUGAACAGGCCGGAGCUUUCACGCUCGGAGUCGGGUCACAUAAGUGACAGUGGAAUUAUCACCCACGGGACAGU
rnacentral:ncRNA from 1 species